rnacentral:rRNA from 1 species
CUACAAAGGAAUUGACGGGGGCCCGCACAAGCGGUGGAGCAUGUGGUUAAUUCGACGCAACGCGAAGAACCUUACCAGGGCUUGACAUCCCCUGACCGCGUAUGAAAGUACGUUCUCACCCUCGGGUGACAGGGAGACAGGUGGUGCAUGGUUGUCGUCAGCUCGUGUCGUGAGAUGUUGGGUUAAGUCCCGCAACGAGCGCAACCCCUACGUUUAGUUGCUAACGCGUGAAGGCGAGCACUCUAGACGAACUGCCGUUGACAAAACGGAGGAAGGUGGGAUGACGUCAAAUCAUCAUGCCCCUUAUGUUCUGGGCUACACACGUGCUACAAUGGCCGGUACAGACGGACGCAAAGCCGCGAGGUGGAGCAAAUCCUAAAAAGCCGGUCUCAGUUCGGAUUGCAGGCUGCAAUUCGCCUGCAUGAAGUCGGAAUCGCUAGUAAUCGCAGGUCAGCAUACUGCGGUGAAUACGUUCCCGGGCCUU